CUUCAGAUGAGAGAUAUAAGUCUGAUUCCUAGUGAAGGUCCUGAUCAGCUGUUUGUUACAGAACUUCAUUUGUUGGAGCAUCCUGUAGUAUUUUCAAGGGAUUUUUUACACCUGACCAUAGUUCAUUGUCUAUGUGUAUAAUGUGUGCAUUAUCAUAAAGCUUAAAAAAUGUUUACUGAUAACAAAAAUAUUGAAGUCUCUUAUGUAAAAAAACCCAGAACUAAUAUAUAAAGUGUUUUUCUCUAUAAAUUGCCAUUCAUGCAAGAAAAUCCCUUUGUUGCUCACUGUUAAAAUUUUUAUCUGUGUAACCAACAAGAAUUCCCAGGUUGAGACUUCCUGAAUGCUACCAGCAGCAGCUGUGGCAGGCUGAGCUCAUCAGGACUACCACUGUUCAGGCUUCUUCAGGCUCUUGCUCUGCUUGAAAGUCUUGCCUAUAUGGAACUUGAGAAGUUUUGCUUUAAUAUUUUUCCUGAAUUUCCAGAUGUGUAGCAGCUUAACUGGAGCCAGUUUUGUAUAACACAUCCCACUGGACUGCUCUAUAUUUGGGAAAUCUGGAUGCUUCUAAAAGAAAUCAAAAUUUCUGGAAAGAAAUUCACUGGUGCAUCAGGGAAUUGUAUCUUAGUCUAUGCUGAGGUCGACUUCAUGGUAUGCGUUGAGGUUGGAUUUACUACUCAAUGGGAUACGCUGGAAUGUAACUAUUAGAAAUCCAGAUAUCCCAGAGUGAUACCUGUGCACGUACCUUUAAAUUCAUGGGCAGGGAUCUCAACCUCAUGAUCUGUCUCCUCCACCUUUCUGCUGAUCUGUUUACUUUUCAACUUCUUGUUGGCAUUUUUUGUGUUUUGCUGUCACCUUCUAUGACAAAACCACCACCUGUGCUACCACAGUUAGUAUCCUGAUCCCCUUCCUCAGCCAUGUCACUUUCUUAUCACUACUACCCUGUCUUUCUACAUCAUGAGGGUCUUGCAGUUAGUGCCAUGUUCCUAACAGACAAACUUCUUUAUGUAUGAGAAUGCUUUUCACCAGCCUUGCCAGGAGUGAAGAUAGCAGGCUGCCAUCUCACCUGACUAGGCUCAUACACUUUGAUAGGAAGCACUAGAUGCUACUUUCUGAGGUCUGCGUAGAGGCAUGUGAAGAUGCCACCUUGUAUGCCCUGUGCAGGGACUCUAACCUACCAGUGCCUGUAGGAGGCAGAGUCAAGAGUUGCUGCUAUGUAACAUAUUCAAGUGAUUUAAACACUGCUAGUAAUUAAAAAACAAUCAGAAUUUAAUAAUUUCAGUCCUAGUCUGUUAACUGUUCAUGUGGAAAAUACUGUUAUAAAAGCACUGCACGCCACCUUCUUUACUCAAACUGUGUGAAUUGGUCUUGAGUGAAACUGAAUAGAUAGUUAGGAUUUCAUGCUGUUUAACAUCUAUUCUUACUGGAAGAUGGGCAGGGUGUUUCACUGGUGCAUAUUUUUAAUGAGCUGAAUCGAAAUAGUUUGCAGAUGGAAACUUGUUUAAGCCAGCUCACUUCACGGUUUUGCUUUCUGCUUUUGCAGGCUUUAUAAGGAAAACUGAGGGAGCAUCGGUUGAAGUGACUGAAAUACUUCUAGGUAGUUGUAGAAUGUGACUCUCUUGAAACAGCCGAUAAAAUUUACAGGAAAUGUACUUGUUUGGGAUUUAAAAGUAGUUGUUCUCUUGCUGACUUGAAGUGGAUCUAAUAGUGGCUUUCUUAUGUAUCCUUGGAGGGAAGGGUACUGAAUUAAAACCAAUUUAAAAUAAUAUGCACUAAACAAUGUUCUAUAUUCUGCAACCAAAAUGAGAUUUGUUUUUUAAUAAAUUCAGCAUGCAUUGAGUUGUUAAGGUAUUGGGAGUGUAGUGGUGUGUGUGUGUGUGUGUUUGUUUUGUUUACUUAUUCCUGGAGUAUUUUUGCAGAAAUGGAAAAUUUGAGAGCAUCUGCACAGAGAAAGCAUUCUCAGGAAAAAUACUCUGGUUACAUCUUGGACCUAUUGGUAAAAUUAAGUGAGGUUGUAAGAUGCUGGUUGAGAAUGCAGAACAACAUACUACUCUCGUGUGUUUUUUUGGCCAAGGGUCUAGAAGUAGCUUUGUUUUUUUUUCCUGGAUUGCUUAGCACAGGGCAAGAAUAUAGCUGCUGCUGUUCUGAAGCUGCAAUAGAUCACUGUGCUAGCCCCUAUGAAUGAGCUGGAAGCUCUAAUAUUUCAAGUGUCACGUUUGGGAAAGAAAUAAUUUAAAUUUGUGCUUUGUUCCUAGUAUUUCCUUUUCUUAUAAAAGAGUCUUCUAGUCUGAGCAAAGGAGAGGUUUCUAAAUCAUAUCAAGAUCUGACAGAAGCUGGCUCUGCCUCCUGGAGGCCAUGCUAUGGGCACUCCUGGAAAUCAUGAAAGAUAAGUUCCAUGCUGAAUGAACGUGUAACUUCUCGUGCUUCUAACCGUAGGAAGACAACGUUUUACAGCGGACAGCUGUCUGAAAUUCCACAGUACUUUUUCUAAUUUUCCACUUCAUUACGUUUUAAUGUUGAAUAAAAUUCAUCAGAUUACAUUUGCAAAAAGAAAAAGCCAAAAACAAACAAAAAAAACCCAACCACACAACCUCAAGUAGUUUCUCAUGUAGUGGAUUUCUUUUGUUUCCUUCUUAGGCUUUCUGCCUCUAUAUUGUAACAUUCUUUUGUGCUGAUGUUCCGUAUUUGUGAAAAACUCAGGCUGUUUAUAUUGUGAAGUUUCCCAUUGUAUUUGUAUAAUGGCAUGUUUUAUCUGCCUUUGAUUGAUUCCAGUUAACGUUACAUUUUCUGGUAAGCCAACAGAUGUAGCCUCAGUAUCUGUAUAUAAACCAAAGUACGUCACAUCUGCUACAAUGGGAACAUCAAAGGUAUCUUUACAAUGUUUUCAUAAUGUUCAUGAUGUUUUUCUAAUUUGUUUAGUUUUAUUGUCAGCUUAUAAAUGAUAAAAGCAGUGGGGGGAAACCUUUUCUGCUUAUCUUUACCAUUUCAAAAUUGAGACAUCGAGCAUACUGCAAGAUGUAAGCAUGUUACAGAAUUGCAAGUUGUGACUCCAUAAAUAAGCAAGUUUCUUUAAUGAAUGCAGCUUUUUGGUUACAAACAGGAUGCUACAUUUUGACCUCAUUAUACUUCUGUUACAAGUUGCGCAUGAACUCACUUUGUUAUUCACAAUGAAAUCUUGUAAUUUGCUGGAAAUGGCUAUUUAGGCGUAGUUCAGUAAGAGCCUUUUUGGUGGCGGUGUCAGGCUUGAACUGAUGCUUCCCCUCCUUGUAGCAAUCAGUUCUUACUCUGUCUUAUGUGACAGCCAAAACGUUCAUCUGGCUGUGAAAUGAAGCGGAUUGGAGAAGUAAUUAGUUGAGAACUAAGUAAUUUCUGUGGGAUCGUUUGUCAGACAUAUGUCGCAUCUUCGAGUUGCAGUUGCGCAAACGCUUUUAUUGUCCCUGUUGCAAUCCACUCAUAAUUCCAGGAAUGAGUUUGUGCUGGGGGAGAGGGGAGAAGUUGGUGGCUGUUGCUUCAAUACCAGUAUCUGCUGCCACAAAGGAAAUUUGGCCUACAGAGAUCUAGUGUUGUGUGACCUGAUGUUACAGAACCCUUCAGUGCAAAAGGAGAACGUUAGUAACAGCUUUGCAUUGCUUCUUAAAUGGAAGGUAUCCUUAAUUUUCUCUAAGACAGAAUUUUUAGAAUGUUUUAUUUUAGCACAUCAGCUUCUACAAGUGGUUUUCCCAUUUUUUAAAGUAGAUAUCACAUGGGAUGAAAUAGGUCAUGAAAGAGUAAUGUUACUUCGCAGAAUUUUUUAAAAAGGAACUUCUUGACAUGGAUGUUCAAGGUUAUUUGGCUUCAGCUAGUGGGGAAGGGGAAGAAGUAAGGUUCCUGCAUUAAUAAGUGUUGUUCACAAAGUCAUUAGCUACAGUAUUUGAAUAUGACUCAGUUUAAUGUAUGAAUUCCACAUCAUCAGAAAAUACUGUGAACGUCUCCUUUUACAGUGACAAUAUUACACUAAUUACUGAAAAGCUAUGGUCACGUUCUCCUAUGAAAAUAACCUGCCUUUCUUCCAGACCUAAGCAUCUGUGAUAUGGGCAUGUGCUUACUCUUUUGUGUGGUGGCCUAAAGGUGGAGAGCUGUUGGUGAUGUGCUGUAACCUCCUUUCCAGCCUUUGAGUUAUUUUUGGAGUGUAGACAAGUGUGAGAAGAGAAAUUGGUGAUUGCAGAUGGUCAGAAGAACGUUGUGCCUGCUUUUCUAGGGACAGGCUACUGCUAAGAGAGAAAUGAGUGAAGAUGAACUUCCAUCCGGUGUUGAUCUCAAAAAUACAUAUUUUGCUGAGGAACUUGGGAAAACAGAGGAAGGCAGAAUCAGCUGAGAGUAAUCCAGAAGAUGAAGCUGAAGUUAAAGAAAAAAAAAAAACAGAAGGCUGAAGUGGCCCUACUUAUGAUGGAUGAUGAGGAUGAUGGCAGAAAGCAUUUUAGUUAUAAACAGAUUGUAGAACAGCAGAACUUGAGCAAGAAGAGAAAGAAAUUCAAUGAAAAAGAAAGAUUUAAUAGAAGGUGACUUCCAGGAAACUACAGGCUCUCUUUAAAGAAAAGACAAGGUUGAAGAGGGACAGAUUCAAACUUUUCCUAAGAUUACAAGCUGGUAUGCAAGGCCUUGUACAACUUAUUGAAUAAACACUCAUUGGUACCUUUGUUCUAAUAAUUAUUAACUGUGUCUUUCAUUCUGGUCAGUUGUUCUCAACAACAAACCUUUCCUUGGACUGCUGAUAGAGGCAUACACAGGGUUUGUACAUGUGUUCACUCCACUAAUAGUAUCUAUUGAUUUCUACUCCACUCUUGAUGAAAACUUACAACUUGAGCAGUUCCAGGAGUGGUGAACAAUCUCACGACUCUUCAAGCAGCUCAUAUUUUACUGUAUUUCAAAGCUUUCUUAACAGGGGAAAGGUUACCUAAAAUAAAGAUGAUUUUUCAACCUCCAAGUAAUAUUGCUGACCUGAGGUUCCAGGCCAUGUUUACUUCUCCCUUAUCUAAUGCGGAUUCUUCAAAUCCAAAUUUCAAGAAGACAGAAGCAGUAAAAAGGAUCUUGGAAGAGCAAGCUUGCUGACAAGGGGAAAACCAUCAAGCUCUUAUGGAGGAAAGCAAGGAGUAGGAGAACAGGAUAGUGAAGAGGUUGCUAAGAAAUCCAUGGAACCUGCUUUAUUGAUGCUAGUAAAAUCUGUCAAAAACAAAACUGAACAGUUUUGGGAAGGGAAAAAGUGGAAAAUCAAAUAACUGAUUUUUGUUUUUAUUCAGACUUUACUUUUGUCCAUGUUCUUCUAACUGACAACAUCUAUUGAAGCUACUACAGUCUCCUCUAAUUCCUAUCCACCUAAAAUUUUCAGGUCACAUAAAUCUAGUGGCAAGUUUUGAAGUAACUAGAGUAACAAUAGCCCUUUCUUUCUGCCUCCCCUCCCCCCCCAAAGAGUUUUGUACUGUUGUGGAAAAACAGCACCUUGAACAUAUAACUAAGGAAUUGUUUGUUUUAGAGCUCUGUGGUUUUUAUGGUAUCAAGCAAUAUCUUAAAGGUAAUAGAAGUACUGAUGUUGUCUGUGGAAACUAGACAUGAUUGUGCUUGUAUUUAAAAAUAAGAAAACCACUUCUGCAGAGCGUUUAGGGCUGAGACUCAUUAGUCUUAAUGCUAUUAAUUCUGAAGUCUGUAAACAUACCCAUUGAUUAAAGAAGGUAUUAAUGUAACUAAAAUUGAAGAAAUAUUGUGUACAGAUUUCUUUUGUGUAUUUUUAAAUGAUUCCAUACAUGCUACAGGAUUCAUUUCUCCUAUAAGUAAUUGAAGAUUUUGUGGAUCUCAUUAGAACUAAUGAGUAGAAAAAACACAGUUCAGAAGAAUGUCAUUAAUAUAUACCUGAAAUAAAUGGUUAAAAAUUUGCCCUGAGGAGUUGUGGGCACUUAACUGUGUUUUCUUCUGUGCCUGAAUAAAACUUUGUUUUAAUUAAACUUUCUCCUACUAAAUUAUGUUCCCACUAAUAUUGUUCCACCUAUACGAAGUGUCUCAGCACUGCAUGUAUUGGAAGAAACAAAAGCAGAUCGAGAUGACAGAAUUUUAGAAAUCCUGCUGCUGGGCAAUGUUAGUAUUGGUGUCAGUGAUGAAAGCAUCAACAGCGAAGUGAAGUACAGGAGGUAGAAAAUACCGUUUUUCCCUGUGAAUUAAUUUAUCUUCAUUUUUUUUGUUUAAUUGUGUACUGUGUCAGUUCUAAUGGAAGUACAAUGCUGUAUCAAAAAGAAUGAGAAUAUUUGAAUUGUGGAGGUGAUAGGUAAUUAGUAAUUGUUACAAUGUAUCAUUAAUUCCAAAGACCUACUAAUUUAAAGCAUUCUAUUAAAGCAGAGCUUAGAAACUAGAGAUGAUCAGAACUGGUGUUUACUUGAAGUAAAUAUGUCUAGGUACAUGAAGGAUGUUACUGAAUUGGAUUUAGCAUGUGAGAGGCUGUAUACCUAACAGCAAAAAUGGACAAGAUACACUAUGGGACAGAAUAUGAAAGUGUGCAUGGAGAUGUUUUCUGCAAGACUAUUUUGUAAUGAUGUGGCCGAAGAACACUUGCAGACCUAGAAUAUUAAGUGUUGUUGCUCUUCCUCACCAGCUGAACGUUUUUCAAGUAGCCAACUGGAAUAGUUAAGGAAAUAAUACAGUGUCUUUUGUACAUAAUUCUGUGAGUUCUUAGUCUUUCAGGCAAUAUGGCAGGACCCAUUGAGCCCAUCUGGUAGUUUGGAACUGACCAAAUGUGGUGGUGAUCAAGGAUAACAUGUCCUGCUGGGAACAGCAAGAAAACUCUGAGCAUGCGUUUAAGCAGUAAUUCUGAUCAUCAUCUACGGCCUCCAGAAACCAUCCGUCUUCGACUGCAUGAACUUGUUUCAGUGAAAGUCCUGGGGAGGCUCUGACUGGCAGGUGCUGACUUGGGUCGGUGCCUGGGCAACCCAAGCAAGACUGGCUGAGCCCCAGGUGCUGAUGUGUUGGGCUGGAGCAGGAUUUGGGCUGGGUGGCACACUAGAGCCAUUGGUCCCUUUCCUGGCAGUGAUGACUGAGCGGCACCAGCAGGGAGAGAGGUGGGGAGAUGUGCGCUGAUAAACGAUGGGUGUGGUUUUGACCAAGGGCAUCCUGACCACCAGAUGUUGGAAGGAAGUUGGAUCAGUAUCACAGUGUUUGAAGAGGAGGUUGUUGCAAAGACUGACCUACUGAAACUGUAUCAUACCUUGAAUGCAAUAAAACAACUUUGGUUUGGACUAAGUCAUUAUCCAUGGAGAGCUGCAGAAAGCUACCAGGCAUGUCUAAAUUCAUAAAAAUAAUGAGAUGGUAAAACCCGUGGAGAGAACUAGUCCAGGAUUUACUUAGUCACCAGCUUGGCCUGUUUUGCUAAACUAUGUACUUACAAAUUGUCAUAUUGGAAUCUGCUCUGUGUUUUGUGUGGGCUCAAAGAGAAGUGAUAUCUGACUCUGAAAACCACUGUUCUGAGUCCUGGCUUACUGAUUUCCCAUAAUGGUUGAUGGAGAGAUGACUGUCCUGCUGCAAUGGCCAAUACAUACCCAGUACACAUAUAAAUCACUUUCCAUAUUUGAGGAAUAAAGACAAAACCUUGCGGGGAUUUACUGCUAGUGGUUAUUUUGGCAGCGGCUGAUGAAUGUGUAUUUGAAACUUCAUUUCUCAUAAUUCCUGUGCCUUAGGAUUUGGCCCCCCUCUAGUUACAACUGUGAAAGCUGGCUGAGAGAGGAACACAAUCUUCCCGAGUUAGCAUUUCCUGAGAUGCUAUGGAACCAGCACUGGAAAUAACUGUGAGUGGGUGUUGAGCAGGAGGGAGUACUUGGAAUGCUAUUUAAACAGGUCGAGGGUGCUUGAGUAUUUUCCUCAUGUAAAGCGUCCCAUUAUCUGGAAAAAGUAUUAUUUUACUGGCUGGAAGUCAAAGAAGGGGCCUCUUCAUUUGCAGAGGAAACAACAAGCAUGCCUGGAAAACACUGUGGGCUUACUUGUGCUACCUGCAAAGAUCAGACAGUCUUUUAGGGGGAUUAAUAGUCCAAUAUCUGAGUGGAUUGAUUCCAGUCUCUACAAUUGCCUUUGGAUGCUUUCUCCUGCAUGCAGUCACUCAAAUGACAAUUUCAGUUCAUAUUUGCUGGUGCAUCCAGCUUCUUUUUCUGGUGAUUGUAGAAAAGAGUUGCAAAGGUCCUGAACUAAUCUGGAAUGGUUGAUAUAGGACUGUAUUUUUAUGUUCCUGCUUUAAAAAAAAUAUAUAUAUUUUUUUUAUUAGUUCUACAUGGCUGCUUCCCAGAUAGCUUUAGCACUCCAACCAAGAAUCUGUCUUUGAAUGGAUUGUUUGAGGUUGCCCUCUCAUCUGGGCCAAAGGGAAUAGAAGGAUGUAAGUCUCUUCCUCCUCCUCUUCUGCUGUCAUUUCUCAGCUUUUCUGUUCUUUAGCAGGCUUCCAAAAGCACUAAAACACCCCAAAGUGAAGGUUCAACAAUUUGUUGUCUGGAAUGCCUCCUGUUUUAAAAUGGGGAUAGGAUAGGUUUGUUAGAUCAGGAGGUCUUUGUCCAGAGUUCUCCUCUUGCCCCCCCC